GACGAACGCUGGCGGCGUGCUUAACACAUGCAAGUCGAACGGAAAGGCCCUGCUUGCAGGGUACUCGAGUGGCGAACGGGUGAGUAACACGUGGGUGAUCUGCCCUGCACUUCGGGAUAAGCCUGGGAAACUGGGUCUAAUACCGGAUAGGAGCCAUUUUUAGUGUGAUGGUUGGAAAGUUUUUUCGGUGUAGGAUGAGCUCGCGGCCUAUCAGCUUGUUGGUGUGGUAAUGGCCUACCAAGGCGGCGACGGGUAGCCGGCCUGAGAGGGUGGACGGCCACAUUGGGACUGAGAUACGGCCCAGACUCCUACGGGAGGCAGCAGUGGGGAAUAUUGCACAAUGGGCGCAAGCCUGAUGCAGCGACGCCGCGGGGGGGAUGACGGCCUUCGGGUUGUAAACUCCUUUCGCUAGGGACGAAGCUUUUUGUGACGGUACCUAGAUAAGAAGCACCGGCUAACUACGUG
rnacentral:rRNA from 1 species